CUCCGUGCCAGCAGCCGCGGUAAUACGGAGGGUGCGAGCGUUAAUCGGAAUUACUGGGCGUAAAGCGCAUGCAGGCGGCUUGUUAAGUCAGAUGUGAAAGACCCGGGGCGUUAACCUCGGAAUUGCAUUUGAAACUGGCAGGCUAGAGUCUUGUAGAGGGGGGUAGGAAUUUCAGGUGUAGCGGUGAAAUAGCGUAGAGAUCUGAAGGAAUACCAGUGGCGAAGGCGGCCCCCCUGGACAAAGACUGACGCUCAGAUGCGAAAGCGUGGGGAGCAAACAGGAUUAGAUACCCUGGUAG
rnacentral:rRNA from 1 species